rnacentral:rRNA from 1 species
UACGUAGGGACCGAGCGUUGUCCGGAAUCAUUGGGCGUAAAGAGCGUGUAGGCGGCCACUUAAGUCCUGCGUGAAAUCUUGCGGCUCAACCGCAAGCGGUCGUGGGAAACUGGGUGGCUAGAGUGCGGGAGAGGAGAGUGGAAUUCCCGGUGUAGUGGUGAUAUGCGUAGAUAUCGGGAGGAACACCUGUGGCGAAGGCGGCUUUCUGGGCCUUACCUGACGCUGAGACGCGGAAGCGUGGGGAGCGAACCGG